rnacentral:misc_RNA from 1 species
CAACCCUCGCGCCCAUCUGGGCUGCGGUGUUGGGGACCGGCCUGCCCCCCGGGGCGCGCCGCCCCCCAAAAUCAGUGGCGGUCCCGCUGCAGCCUCCCUUGCGUAGUAGCACCCCCCGCACCGGGGCGCCGCGCGGCCACGCCGUAAAACCCCCGACCCCCAUGA